GCCUGGCAGGGCUUGGCUUUGUAUCCUGUUGGGAUGAUCAUCUCUUCAGUGUGAUGACUAAGGGUAGCAUCCAGUUAGUGCACUAGCAACUGAAGUUAGGAAGGCUGGGGUGGACGCUGCCAACCAGCAAUCCAAUCUGCCUGAUGGCCAGCCCUCUGACCACUGGGAGCCUGGGGCUUUCUGAAUCAGACAACUUCCAGACUUCACACGUGCUACCAAGCACAAGAUAUAUUCUGGAAAGAAGAGGAGGAGGAAGAAGAAAGACUGUAAAGGAAGGAGCAGUACUGUUUUCAUGAGGACCUACUAUGUGCCAGACAUUAUUCUAGGUGCUGGGUCACCAUGGGAAACUUGCAGCUAGUUGGGAGGCUAAGAUGGGAAGAUCACUUGAGCCCAGCAGGUCGAGGCUGCAGUAAGCCAAGAUCGUGCCACUGCACUCCAGCCUGGGCAACAGAUGCUGUGUGAAGAUGAAGGCAGAGAUCAGGCUGAUGCUUAUGGAAAGCCAGAGAUUUCCAACAAACCACCAAAAACUAGGAGAGAGACCUGGAACAGAUUCUCUCUGAGUCCUCAGUAGGAACCAACCCUGACAACACCAUGAUCUUGGACUUCUAGCCCCUAGAACUGUGAAAUAAUAAAUGUCUGAUGUCUAAGCCAGCCAGUUUAUGGUAGUUUGUUACAGCAGCCCUAGAAACCUAACAUAUGGUACAUAUGGUUUUGUCUUCCCAACCCACUUAUUUUUCUGGGAAAUCUCUCUCCCUCCCCAGUUACUGCAGGAGCAGCCAUGUUGAUCAACAUGGCCUCCUGCCCCGGUAGAGAUCAUUGAAAAUUGGCAUUUGAAACCAGAGAACAAGUCUUCAGUGACUAAAGCUGAAAAGUAUGAAACUCAGGAACUGCCAACAACCAUGUUUUCUACAACAAAAAGAAAGCCAGUCUGCAGAAGACAAAGCUGGCAUCCAGAGCGACAGAGGUGAGGCGAGGGGAGAGAGGUGAGGGUUUCCCGCUCUAACGCCAUUGGUGCCCAAGGUCUUAGCUCUAUCCUAACUUGGCUGUGACUUGAAUUCCAGGACACUAAAGUGGCCGUCCAGUAAAUUCUUUUUUUUUUUUCCUCAAGCCGAUUAAUAAACAGUCUGUGGUACUUACAACUCAGACUUCUAUUUAACCUCUCCAAAACUCACUCAGUCUCAUUUUUCAUAAGAAGUUUGCUGCUCUAAGUAACUGUGUCCUUACCAGACAUGGGUGUGGGAUCCAGAAAAGAGCAUUAAUAAAAAUUAAUGUUAGUCAAGAAAUAUGGCCAGAAGCAGUGGC